GUAAUAAUAAAUGUGUCAAUUAGCAGACGCUGUUAUCCAAAGCAACUACACAGACUAGGGAAUGAACUAUACACCAACAAUUUCUGCUGCAGAGUCACUUCCAAUAGGACCUCGGUUUUACAUCUCAUCCGAUGGACGGAGAACAAGGAGGUUAAGUAACUUACUGUGAGAAGAUGUGUCUCCUAACCUCUGUCCUAAGUCUGUCUCCACUCAGUUUAUAACUGUGUACUCUAGUCCUGGUCUCUCUGCUGUGCUUAAAAGAGUGACUACAGUUAACUCCAACUUUUUAAAAGCUUUUUAGUCUCCUCUAGUCUUUUUUUUGGUCCAGACUGAAUAGAUUUAGUUCCCUCAACUGUUCUCUCAGCAUAUUUAGGGUUGGUUGAGUGUACAAGGAAAACAACUGACUCUGGAGAGGAGUUACCAAUCAAUGCCAGCACACUGGAGAUCCAGAAUUCAGAACACAGAACCAGGGAGGACAUUCGGCCCAUCAGUGCAGCAGCUGAUUAAUCUCAAACCUGUUAAGUCGGGUCUUAAAGGAUCCCAGCCCUAACAACAUGACUUGGUAACCCAUUCCAUCCCCUCACCACACUCUGUGAGAAGGUGUCUCCUACCCUCCAUCCUAUAGCUAUCCACACUUAAUUUCCAACAGUGCCCUCUGACCCUGGUGUCAGUGCUAUGCUUGAGGUAUUAGUUUGGGUGAACUUUGUCAACACCUUUCAAGUUUUUGAAGACUUCAGUCAAGUCCGCCUAAUUGUUCUGUGUUCAAGCUAAACAAAUUCAUUACCCUCUUCACAGCUCGUUCCUUUAAGCCCCGGGAUUAGUCUUCAUCUUUAUGAUUGCAUCCCUGUUGCUGGUAGAAAUAAGUCUAUCACAACACCAAGGUCUUUCUCUCACACCCACUGUGUAUUUCAAUCCUACUUUUUUCCUUCUAAAAAGAGACUUGGUAAUACAUUUGUAAAAUGUUUCAAUAAGAAACAUGCACUCCACACUGUACAGCAGCUGACUGAUUUGCUAAUGAAAGAAGCAGCUCAACCACAACACCUGGUAUAAUGAACAUGUUUGUGAGCCAGGUGUUUGCAGUACUGUACUGUAGAUAUGAAAUUCCAGAGAAUGCUUCAUUUUGCAUGACUGAUAACUAAUCAUUCUAUUGCCUUUAAUACUGUAUAUGGGGCCACCUGUCUGCACCUGCUGAUCCCAGCACUGAUCCUGCUCUGUGUUAAGAGAACAAUGGAGAUCACUGACACUGUGUCAAUAGAUUUGGAUCAUAGGGUAUAGAGGAAAUAGUUUUCAAGUGAAGUAUGGAAAUUUGGAAGAGGAGGGCAUCACACAGUAUCACAGUGUAGAGAAAGAAAGGGUCCUUGAUGAGGGUUUAGUGGUGAAGGAGUGCAUUUGCCAGGGAGAGGGUAUAAAACAGAGCAGGGUGCAGGGACCAGAGCAGCUGAAGAGUGGAAAAGCAGCAUCAGCACCUUGUCAAGAUGAAACCCUGGACUACAAGAGCCAUUCUCCUCUCGGUCCUGACAGCAUGUCUUCUGUCAGGGGCUGAUGCAAGGAGCCUCCUUGAGGACUCUGAAGAGCUGGGAGAUGAUGAUUACCAGGCCAGCAAGAGAGAACUGGAUCUCAGCAACACUUUGGAAGACUCAGAGGAGCAGGAAGGAGCACUGGAGAAUAAGAGAGCGCUGGGUAAGGAAAGAAAGAAAGAAAGAAAGAAAGUAAGAAAGAAAGAAAGAAAGAAAGAAAGAAAGAAAGAAAGAGAAACAAACAGAAAGAAAGAAAAAGAAUGAAACAAAGAAACAAAGAGAAACAAACAGAAAGAAAGAAAGAAAGAAUGAAAGAAAGAGAAACAAACAGAAAGAAAGAAAGAAACAGAAAGAAAGAAAAAAAGAGAAACAAACAGAAAGAAAGAAAGAAAGAAUGAAACAAAGAAAGAGAAACAAACAAAGAAAGAAAGAAAGAAUGAAAGAAAGAGAAACAAACAGAAAAAAAGAAAGAAACAGAAAGAAAGAAAAAAGAGAAACAAACAGAAAGAAAGAAACAGAAAGAAAGAGAAAGAAAGAAAGAAAGUUUCUUAUUUGCAGGAUUUAAGUUAAGCAAUGACAAAAAAGCACAGUCUUGCACAGACCACACAAUUUGUUUAGAAACCCAAUCUGACUAAUCAUCGCUAAUCAUGCAUAACAUCAAGGGCUACUGUAUAUCCAGGAAUCUCCUGGUUAAACCUCACAGCUCUGCAUUGCAAUGUAAUGGGGAACUCUCUGCCUCCCUGUGUUGAGUGUCCUAUGAAGCUGUGCACUGCAGUCGAGGGAAUCCUUCAUUGCUUCAAGAAGCUCUCUUCUCCCUGUUCCAGAGGCAGAGGAUUCAGGUGACAGUGAUGCUGAACUGGACAGUGAUGGACUCAAAGGAGAGCGGGAGUUGGGUGAGUCCUUUGAAAAGCACGUCUGGGUAGUGUGUGGGUACAACGUUAAACCUUCAAGAGGAACACAUUGUGAAUUACAGAUGAUAGACUUAAGGCCAAACCCCAGUGAAUCUGAGCACAUUUAGCUGCUGUUUC